UUGACCUCAAUUUCAAGAUCAAGACGAUAUUCGUACUCGUAAAAGUUUUCAUACUGAAAUUGCAUUGGAAAUGUUUUAUUUCUGAUGUGGUUAUCGCCCGAUAAAAGACCUCCAGUUUGACGAGCAUUCCCAUGCUCUUUCAUCCGAACCUGGUGGAUAUCAGAUAUCUAUGAAUCGCCCAAGAAACCCAUGGAUUGAGAGCGCUUUAUAGCUUAACUCGAAAUUUGAAGAAGAUACCGCAAUAUGCCGAAUAGCAUUUUUUCUUGCAAGGUUAUAAGAAGUGCAAAAUGUCGACUCAUUAUUGAAAGUGCAGUAAACACUAAAGAAGUAGUUUCAUAUAAUGUGUAAUUGAAGCUUUUUUCAUAAAUGGAUUUUGGCACAUA